GACGGGGCCCGCACAAGCGGUGGAGCAUGUGGUUUAAUUCGAUGCAACGCGAAGAACCUUACCAGGGCUUGACAUGCUGGUGGUACUGACCCGAAAGGGAGGGACCCUUAGGGGUUAACCUUAAGGGAGCCAGCACAGGUGCUGCAUGGUUGUCGUCAGCUCGUGUCGUGAGAUGUUGGGUUAAGUCCCGCAACGAGCGCAACCCCUACCUCUAGUUGCCAGCGGGUGAAGCCGGGCACUCUAGAGGGACUGCCGGCGACAAGCCGGAGGAAGUGGGGAUGACGUCAAAUCAUCAUGGCCCUUAUGCCCUGGGCUACACACGUGCUACAAUGGCCGGUACAGAGGGUAGCGAACCCGCGAGGGGGAGCCAAUCCCAAAAAGCCGGUCUCAGUUCGGAUUGCAGGCUGCAACUCGCCUGCAUGAAGGCGGAAUCGCUAGUAAUCGCGGAUCAGCCAUGCCGCGGUGAAUACGUUCCCGGGCCUU
rnacentral:rRNA from 1 species